UACGGAGGAUGCGAGCGUUAUCCGGAUUUAUUGGGUUUAAAGGGUGCGUAGGCGGGAUGCCAAGUCAGCGGUAAAAAUGCGGUGCUCAACGCCGUCGAGCCGUUGAAACUGGCGUUCUUGAGUGGGCGAGAAGUAUGCGGAAUGCGUGGUGUAGCGGUGAAAUGCAUAGAUAUCACGCAGAACUCCGAUUGCGAAGGCAGCACACCGGCGCCCUACUGACGCUGAGGCACGAAAGCGUGGGUAUCGAACAGG
rnacentral:rRNA from 1 species